AAUGGGCUUGUCCGUAGGAACGGAGCUUUGAUUUGCAAUCAAGGCGACAGGGUUCGAUUCCCUGCUUGUCC
rnacentral:tRNA from 1 species